AGUGAACGCUGGCGGUAGGCCUAACACAUGCAAGUCGAACGGCAGCACAGUAAGAGCUUGCUCUUACGGGUGGCGAGUGGCGGACGGGUGAGGAAUACAUCGGAAUCUACUUUUUCGUGGGGGAUAACGUAGGGAAACUUACGCUAAUACCGCAUACGACCUACGGGUGAAAGCAGGGGAUCUUCGGACCUUGCGCGAUUGAAUGAGCCGAUGUCGGAUUAGCUAGUUGGCGGGGUAGAGGCCCACCAAGGCGACGAUCCGUAGCUGGUCUGAGAGGAUGAUCAGCCACACUGGAACUGAGACACGGUCCAGACUCCUACGGGAGGCAGCAGUGGGGAAUAUUGGACAAUGGGCGCAAGCCUGAUCCAGCCAUACCGCGUGGGUGAAGAAGGCCUUCGGGUUGUAAAGCUCUUUUGUUGGGAAAGAAAAGCAGCAGGUUAAUACCCCGCUGUUCUGACGGUACCCAAAGAAUAAGCACCGGCUAACUUCGUG
rnacentral:rRNA from 1 species